GAUGAACGCUAGCGGCAGGCUUAACACAUGCAAGUCGGACGGCAGCAUGCUUGUAGCGAUACGAGUGAUGGCGAGUGGCGGACGGGUGAGGAAGGCAUAGGAACUUGCCUUGUGGAGGGGGAUAACCCAGGGAAACUUGGGCUAAUACCGCGUAAGACCGUAAGGUGAAAGGGGGCGCAAGCUCUCGCCAUGAGAUGGGCCUAUGUUGGAUUAGCUAGUAGGGUGGGUAAAGGCUGCCCUAGGCGAUGAUCCAUAGCUGUUCUGAGAGGAAGGACAGCCACCCUGGAACUGAGACACGGUCCAGACUCCUACGGGAGGCAGCAGUGGGGAAUAUUGGACAAUGGGGGCAACCCUGAUCCAGCAAUGCCAUGUGUGUGAAGAAGGCCUUCAGGUUGUAAAGCACUUUAGUGGGGGAGGAAGGCUGCGAGGCGAAUAACCUUGUAGAUCGACAGUACCCCAAGAAUAAACACCGGCAAACUCUGUGCCAGCCGCCGCCGUAACAC
rnacentral:rRNA from 1 species